AGAGCCCAUUGGAGAACCCUCGCCCACUAAGCCAGACAUUCCCCUCUCCGUCUCCAGCACCAGCCGCAAUAUCAGCCCCAGUAAGCGGGCCAUCAGCUCCGUCCGAGCAUCACAGUGAUCCAUCCCUGUCUACUAUUGCUCUGCUCAGUCCUUCCUCCGAAUCUACCAGCGAACUUCCCAAGCUAGCGGCUAGCCUCCCCCGACUCGGUCGCUAACGAGCCGGCGCUAACAGCUAGUCUCCACGAGCCAGAGCCUAGCUUCCCAGAAUCAGAGCCAGCAGCGAGCGAGCACUUACCUGUGCUGUCUGUCGGCGGCGCUCAGGUCUUCCUCGUAGCUUCAGCCGGCCUCCGGGCCACCCCCACGCUGCCUCCUCGUGGGUCUGUGCGGCCUGCCAGCCGCCCUCCGCAGUCUCUUCUUGGGUCAACCCGGCCUCUGGGCUACCAACCGGACCAGCUACGAUGUGUCCGCAUCCUUCGUCACCAGCAGCCGGACCUCUCCCGAAAGGGAAAAUCUGGCAAGCUGUGUCCCUGAACACUUUCAAAUAGAGGUUUCAGGUGUUAAUUAGCUUGUUUGGGUUGUGGGUUUCCCAAGAAAGUCCAGCUUGUUAGACUCAGGAGACGGCCAGAAUGCGGAAUACAGGAGGAUCUCUUUGAACCUGCGGAAGAAAAGUAACCUACAUGAUGUCUUUUCCAGUGGAAAAAGUCCAGUUUUGUGCAGCACGUCAUCUGUUUAUCUGACUCGUCUCUUACAUGCUUUUUCCUGCUGAGCCUCAUGACUACUUUUUUGGAGUCAGUAAAAGAACCCAGCCUGCCAGUUGGAUGGGAAUGUCUUGGAAAACGCUAAAAUAACUGGAGACAGAUUUGAAUUAGUCUCUGGUGGGUGGAAGAGUUUUAACUUCACUGCAAUCAACAAUCAGCCUUCAAGCAUUUUUUGAAGAUGUUUUUCUUUCUCGAAUGGGAAAAAAAAAACAUCCUUGUGAAGACAAUACAGUUAAGAUGCCAAGUCUUUUCACGUCGCCAUUCCAUGGUUCGUAAUACAAUGAGAGAAUGGAAGAAUACUGGAGGUCGAGUGGAGGUGUAGAGGCAGAACGUUUUAAAAAGCAAAUCAAAACACUUUGCUGCGUUUCCAACCUGACUGCAAAAAGACAGGAAGGUUCUUCAAUCUCUGGUGUUGUGUUUUACUGCUGCCACCCCACAAAUACCAGUGCUCGAAUCUGACAUUGAGGCAGCAACAUUGAAAUUAUUGGGCGGAACAAACAACUUGAUACACAGUUGAAACAAGCUGGAUUGGUAUUGAAUUAAAUGUUGUACGUUUUGUCCGGAACGGAGAAAAAGAAAUUGACAAUAUUUAAUGGAAAGUACUUUUAAAGACACAAGUGCAAUGGACAUUUACGCUUCAGGCCGCCUCAUUUCCUAUUCAGAAGUUUCUCUCUGCCGUUUGAGAUCAUGAAAAAUUUUACUACACCAUUUCCCUGCAGUUGUUGACAUUUUGACUUUGGCGUAUGGUGAACAAAAUACUCACAGUAACUGAAACUUUAGCACCUUUAUUAUCAUAGCGUAGGAUAGCAAAGUUGGUAAUUUGAGUCCCGAGGUGAUGGAGGUAAAAGUCAUAAAAUAAACGGCACCAACAGGAAAAAAACCCCAGAAGGAAUAGCAAUAAUAAGAUAACAUAAAACGACAAUAAUCAUAAAAUUUCAAAAUGAAAUCAAUGUGCUUAUUUAAGAAAAAAAACAACUUAUUCAGCAACUCUGACUGUGAUCCUCAUAUAGGGUUGAAACUGACCUCAUGACUCAUUUUCAGCUCUUUUCACACAUGGAAAAAAAAAAUUGUCAGUUAUGUCAAACAACACCAUUAUGUUAUUCAGACAACAAAUCUUUUCAACAAUAAUUCGCCUUAUGACUUCAUUCAGCCAAGUUUGCUAUAGAAUGAUAGACACGUCUGACAUUUUUCAAGAGGAAGUAUUUCACCAAAGUCAAAACGUGUCAUAUUGUUACAACAGGUUAUACGAGUAGGCCAAACAUCAAGUGUUUGUUUUUUUUUUAAGAACAGAAACGGCUGCUGUGAUAUCUCUGACCAGGACUUUGUUCUGUUAAUACUACAAUAUUGCUUGAAUGUCCUCUUGCAUGUUGUUUCCCCAAGUUAUGAACAUUCUGAUGCAUUUGCAUAAAUUUGUUAUUUAUAUGUUGAUCUAUUGUAAUUCUUGGCAAUCGGGAAACGUCAAAAGUUUAUUUGACACAGAGACACUUUAACUGUUGCAGAUCUAAGCAAAGUUUUCUCUUGUUCUCCGGACUUCAGUGCAAUGAAAUACUAUGUAGCUGCUGUAGCUAAUUAUUGAACGGAUUGAACUAUUUACUGCAGGUGAAAAUUAAUGGGAAGCUUUUAGAGCUAGGUUAUUCAUUUAAUAACAUGAUCUGUCAGAUUCUUCUGAACCUCUGAUUAUAUGCCAGAUUAACCCA